rnacentral:tRNA from 1 species
CGGUAGCUCAACUGGAUAGAGCAUCGCCCUUCUAAGGCGAGGGUUACAGGUUCGAGUCCUGUCCGGGGUACUA